GGGAAUGUAGCUUAGUGGUAGAGUGCUUGCCUUGAAUUCAUGAAGCCCUGGGUUCAAUUCCUCAGUACUA
rnacentral:tRNA from 1 species